rnacentral:rRNA from 1 species
AUUGAACGCUGGCGGCAGGCCUAACCCAUGCAAGUAGAGCGAGCGGCGGACGGGUGAGUAAUGUAUGGGGACUGACCGAUAGAGGGGGAUAACUCCUGGAAACGGUGGCUAAUACCGCAUACUAUCGGAUACCCCAUAUGGGAUUAGCUAGUAGGUGGGGUAAAGGCUCACCUAGGCGACGAUCUCUAGCUGGUCUGAGAGGAUGAUCAGCCACACUGGGACUGAGACAAGGCCCAGAUGCCGACGGCGGCAGUAUUUGAGAGUAUUGAACUAUGGGCGCAAGCCAGCGCCAGGCAGUCCGAGUGUAUGAAGAACGCCUUAGGGUUUUAAAGUAAUUUCAGCGGGGAGGGGUUACGCGAAGAAGAAGCACCGGCUAAUUCCGUGGCAGCAGCCGCGGUAAUAC